UUCUGAGAACUAAUUUGCUAUUCGGUGACAUAAGAGGGGGAGUGCGCUUUGCUUCCUCGGGGUCUGAGGUUGAUUCCUGUUCUCCUACCCAUAAACUCAGCUCCUCCAGCUCCACACACAAAAGGGGAGCGACAGAGUUUGAACCAUUGGAAAAUACAGAUACGUUGUAGGUUGAGAGGAGCGAGUAAAAAGGGGGCAAAAAAAAAAAAAUAAACACCACAGCAGCUCUUUCCAGCUAGAAUAUUAGGCACCACGAGAAAAAUAUUUACCCAGCAAUUUUCGGACUGCGAGUGGUGGGUUUACUAUCUCUGUUAUGGUUCACUCUUAGAGGAAAUGUCUUGUCACCAGAAACCUGUGCCUAUGGAUGUGUUUACAUGGAAAGAAAAGGACCAGAACAGGGGGCAUAGAGAAAGAUGAUAUUGAAAAUAUUGUAAAGAUAGACACUUUUAGACAGUGGGCAUCUCCCUGAAUCCAGCAGAGCUGUUUAAUGGGAUUAAAGACAGGCCUGCCUUGAAUAUGCUCAGAUUCUUUUUAAAUCAUCCUUACAAAGCGA